rnacentral:rRNA from 1 species
GACGAACGCUGGCGGCGUGCCUAAUACAUGCAAGUCGAGCGGACUGAAUGGGAGCUUGCUCUUGUUCGGUCAGCGGCGGACGGGUGAGUAACACGUGGGCAACCUGCCCGCAAGACCGGGAUAACUCCGGGAAACCGGAGCUAAUACCGGAUAACACCGAAGACCGCAUGGUCUUUGGUUGAAAGGCGGCGCAAGCUGCCACUUGCGGAUGGGCCCGCGGCGCAUUAGCUAGUUGGUGAGGUAACGGCUCACCAAGGCGACGAUGCGUAGCCGGCCUGAGAGGGUGAACGGCCACACUGGGACUGAGACACGGCCCAGACUCCUACGGGAGGCAGCAGUAGGGAAUCUUCCGCAAUGGGCGAAAGCCUGACGGAGCGACGCCGCGUGAGCGAAGAAGGCCUUCGGGUCGGAAAGCUCUGUUGUGAGGGACGAAGGAGCGCCGUUUGAAGAAGGCGGCGCGGUGACGGUACCUCACGAGGAAGCCCCGGCUAACUACGUG